rnacentral:lncRNA from 1 species
GGCGUGGUGCUUUUCGUGUGGGAGCUCCUACCCACCACCUUGGUGGUUUAUUUCUUUCGAGUCAGAAAUCCCACGAAGGAUCUUACCAAUCCUGGGAUGGUCCCCAGCCAUGGAUUCAGUCCCAGAUCUUACUUCUUUGACAACCCCCGAAGAUAUGACAGUGAUGAUGACCUUGCCUGGAACAUUGCCCCUCAGGGACUUCAGGGAAGGACCUCUCCGAGCCUACCCAGAGAGAGCCAGGGCAUGUGCUGCUCCACUCACUCACUGGAACGUGAUCUGGGACAUCCAGGCAGACCUCUUGGAUCCUCUUCUAAAGCCAGAGAAUAUAUGAACAAUUAUCACUAGAUCCCGUGAGUUUUGCUCCAGACUACUGUGAUUGGGGACAACAAAAUAACAGCUUCCUGGCACAAGCAGGAACUUUGCAUCAAGACUCCACUUUGGAUCCAGACAAAGCAAGCCAAGGGUAGCAGCAGCUGACACAGCCCUAUGGAAGAGUUCUCUGUUGACAGCCUUCAGCCAGACAGACCGGAUGACAGCUGAGUUGCUAAGGCAGUUUUCCUUAGGAAACAGAACUCUAGUUUUUGCUAUAGCUUUCUCAUGGCUCCACAGGGCUAAGCAAUAAUUUAGAGCAAUAAACCCUUUAGUACUAGCAGAGAAUCUGGCUAUUUCAGUGGGUAUAAUUUAAACUUAUAAAAGA